rnacentral:rRNA from 1 species
UACGUAGGGCGCAAGCGUUGUCCGGAAUUAUUGGGCGUAAAGAGCUCGUAGGCGGCUUGUCGCGUCGGUUGUGAAAGCCCGGGGCUUAACUCCGGGUCUGCAUUCGAUACGGGCAUGCUUGAGUGUGGUAGGGGAGAUCGGAAUUCCUGGUGUAGCGGUGAAAUGCGCAGAUAUCAGGAGGAACACCGGUGGCGAAGGCGGAUCUCUGGGCCAUUACUGACGCUGAGGAGCGAAAGCGUGGGGAGCGAACAGG